GACGAACGCUGGCGGCGUGCUUAACACAUGCAAGUCGAACGGAAAGGCCCUGCUUUUGUGUGGUGCUCGAGUGGCGAACGGGUGAGUAACACGUGAGUAACCUGCCCUUGACUUUGGGAUAACUUCAGGAAACUGGGGCUAAUAACGGAUAGGAGCUCCUGCUGCAUGGUGGGGGUUGGAAAGUUUCGGCGGUUGGGGAUGGACUCGCGGCUUAUCAGCUUGUUGGUGGGGUAGUGGCAUACCAAGGCUGUGACGGGUAGCCGGCCUGAGAGGGUGACCGGGCACAUUGGGACUGAGAUACGCAGCAGACUGCUAUGGGAGGCAGAAGUGGGGAAUAUUGCACAAUGAGCGGAAGCCUGAGGAGAAAACGCCGCGUGCGGGAAGACGGCCUUCGGGUUGUAAACCGCUUUCGCCUGUGACGAAGCGUGAGUGACGGUAAUGGGUAAAGAAGCACCGGCUAACUACGUG
rnacentral:rRNA from 1 species